UAUGUCGCAACAGAAAUCUUCAAGGAAAGUCUAUAUUGUGUCCAUGGGAAAUUAAAAAAAAAACUUUAGUCAGCUGUUUCCCAUUCAACAAAAAAGAUUAAAGGCAACCUCCACGAUGAUGGAUAAGACGUCAUUCUCGGUCUGAAAUGUCCCAAUCUUGCUGUGAGACAGGAAAUCAACGUUGUUAAGUAGAAAAAUCCCAAGGCAAUAAGUAAAUGCCACAUUCCAUGAAGAUGUAAAUUAGCGAAAGCAUAUGUACAGAAGAAUGUAUCAAAAAUCCACAGCAUAU
rnacentral:lncRNA from 1 species